CAUGCAAGUCGAGCGGAUGAAAGUAGCUUGCUACUGGAUUCAGCGGCGGACGGGUGAGUAAUGCUUAGGAAUCUGCCUAUUAGUGGGGGACAACGUUCCGAAAGGAGCGCUAAUACCGCAUACGUCCUACGGGAGAAAGCAGGGGACCUUCGGGCCUUGCGCUAAUAGAUGAGCCUAAGUCGGAUUAGCUAGUUGGUAGGGUAAAGGCCUACCAAGGCGACGAUCUGUAGCGGGUCUGAGAGGAUGAUCCGCCACACUGGGACUGAGACACGGCCCAGACUCCUACGGGAGGCAGCAGUGGGGAAUAUUGGACAAUGGGGGGAACCCUGAUCCAGCCAUGCCGCGUGUGUGAAGAAGGCCUUUUGGUUGUAAAGCACUUUAAGCGAGGAGGAGGCUACCUAGAUUAAUACUUUAGGAUAGUGGACGUUACUCGCAGAAUAAGCACCGGCUAA
rnacentral:rRNA from 1 species